UACGGGGGGGGCAAGCGUUGUUCGGAAUUACUGGGCGUAAAGGGCUCGUAGGCGGCCAACUAAGUCAGACGUGAAAUCCCCAGGCUCAACCUGGGAACUGCGUCUGAUACUGGAUGGCUUGAAUUCGGGAGAGGGAUGCAGAAUUCCAGGUGUAGCGGUGAAAUGCGUAGAGAUCCGGAGGAACACCAGCGGCGAAGGCGGCAUCCUGGACUGGUCCUGACACUCAGGAGCGAAAGCGUGGGGAGCGAUCCGG
rnacentral:rRNA from 1 species